rnacentral:rRNA from 1 species
AAAUUGAAGAGUUUGAUCAUGGCUCAGAUUGAACGCUGGCGGCAGGCCUAACACAUGCAAGUCGAACGGUAACAGGAAGCAGCUUGCUGCUUCGCUGACGAGUGGCGGACGGGUGAGUAAUGUCUGGGAAACUGCCUGAUGGAGGGGGAUAACUACUGGAAACGGUAGCUAAUACCGCAUAAUGUCGCAAGACCAAAGAGGGGGACCUUCGGGCCUCUUGCCAUCGGAUGUGCCCAGAUGGGAUUAGCUUGUUGGUGGGGUAACGGCUCACCAAGGCGACGAUCCCUAGCUGGUCUGAGAGGAUGACCAGCCACACUGGAACUGAGACACGGUCCAGACUCCUACGGGAGGCAGCAGUGGGGAAUAUUGCACAAUGGGCGCAAGCCUGAUGCAGCCAUGCCGCGUGUAUGAAGAAGGCCUUCGG